AGGAAGUGUGCUUAUCAACUGAAGUGGCAUCCAGCUCUCCGGGAUAACGUCCUGGGAUCGGCUCUGCCAGAAAAACAAAAUACAAAGACGUGGAUUUUCGUGAAAAGGUCAGAACUUAGUUACAAGCAUGAAAUUAUUCCUUAAAGAAUGUUGGUAAACCAAGAUGUAUUUCCUAUGGCGAAUGUGAACCCUGGGGUCGACCAGCACCUUCUUACACACUGGGUCGUGUGACCUGAUGACAGUUCAGCAUGGAAGUCAUUAAUGCCACUUUAGAGUGAGAAGCUUUGGCCUGUGUGAAGUUCUGGGAGAUGACGCUGCCGAAGGCUGCCCUUCCUGGCCGUCACACAGCUUCCCUGCUGGCCUCCUGCUUCAACAAAUAUCCACGGCUUUAGGUCAGGAACUUCUGAGGGAAAGUCACCUCAUAAUUGUGACAUAUCUGGCUGGAGUUUACUUCCCCUUGGGGUGUGCCCUGGAUCUCCUCCACAGUGAUGGCCAGUACCACCUGGCUGAGGGACUGUGAGUCUUUGCCUCCAUGUGGGUGAAGUCGCUUGAGAGGGGGGAAAACUCAUUCGUUUGCUGUCAUCAGGACCAGUGUAGUAUUUCACACAGGAAGCCAUCCUGCUGACAUUCCAGGAGAACGUGAAGUGAUAUUUUCAGAGAGCUGACGCCUCUAUACCAGGAAGCUCCAGCACUUUAUAGGUAUCAGCUUCUUAAAUCCUCACAACAUCCUGUAAAGUUGACCUUGUCAUUCUCACAUCCUCUUGUGGCUGGCUUAAGAUCCUGCUCCAUUACUAUCUGAAGCAGAAGUGUCUGAAUCAGAAUGCCCCUACCAUCUGAAUGAAGAGCUAUUCCUGGUUGGGGCCAGAAGAUGCCUAAAGUAUCUGAUCAGACAAUAUGAGAUUUAUUUAUUUAUUUGACAGAGAAAAAGAGAGCACA